rnacentral:rRNA from 1 species
GGUUAGCGGCGGACGGGUGAGUAACACGUGGGUAACCUGCCUGUAAGACUGGGAUAACAUUCGGAAACGAAUGCUAAUACCGGAUACGCAGCUUGGUCGCAUGACCGGGCUGGGAAAGAUGGAGCAAUCUAUCACUUAUAGAUGGACCCGCGGCGCAUUAGCUAGUUGGUGAGGUAACGGCUCACCAAGGCGACGAUGCGUAGCCGACCUGAGAGGGUGAUCGGCCACACUGGGACUGAGACACGGCCCAGACUCCUACGGGAGGCAGCAGUAGGGAAUCUUCCGCAAUGGACGAAAGUCUGACGGAGCAACGCCGCGUGAGUGAUGAAGGUUUUCGGAUCGUAAAGCUCUGUUGCCAGGGAAGAAUGCUUGGGAGAGUAACUGCUCCCAAGGUGACGGUACCUGAGAAGAAAGCCCCGGCUAACU